rnacentral:tRNA from 3 species
GCCCGGGUGGUGGAAUUGGUAGACACGCUAUCUUGAGGGGGUAGUGGCCACAAGCCGUGCGGGUUCGAAUCCCGCCCCGGGCACCA